UUAAGCAUAUCAAUAAGCGGAGGAAAAGAAACCAACAGGGAUUGCCCUAGUAACGGCGAGUGAAGCGGCAACAGCUCAAAUUUGAAAUCUGGCCUCGGCCCGAGUUGUAAUUUGCAGAGGAUGUUUCUGGCGCGGUGCCUUCCGAGUUCCCUGGAACGGGACGCCACAGAGGGUGAGAGCCCCGUAUGGUUGGACACCAAGCCUGUGUGAAACUCCUUCGACGAGUCGAGUAGUUUGGGAAUGCUGCUCAAAAUGGGAGGUAAAUCUCUUCUAAAGCUAAAUACCGGCCAGAGACCGAUAGCGCACAAGUAGAGUGAUCGAAAGAUGAAAAGCACCUUGAAAAGGGGGUUAAACAGUACGUGAAAUUGUUGAAAGGGAAGCGCUUGUGACCAGACUUGCGCCGGGCGGCUCAUCCGGGGUUCUCCCCGGUGCACUCCGCCCGGCUCAGGCCAGCAUCGGUUCUUGUUGGGGGAUAAGAACGGCAGGAAUGUGGCCCUCCCUCGGGAGGGUGUUAUAGCCUGCCGUACGAUACCCUGACGGGGACCGAGGUUCGCGCUCCGCAAGGAUGCUGGCGUAAUGGUCAUCAGCGACCCGUCUUGAAACACGGACCAAGGAGUCGUCCAUUAGAGCGAGCGUUUGGGUGUCAAACCCGCACGCGUAAUGAAAGUGAAAUUAGGUGAGAGCUUCGGCGCAUCAUCGACCGAUCCUGAUGUUCUCGGAUGGAUUUGAGUAAGAGUUUUAACGGACGGACCCGAAAGACAGUGAACUAUGCUUGUAUAGGGUGAAGCCAGAGGAAACUCUGGUGGAGGCUCGCAGCGGUUCUGACGUGCAAAUCGAUCGUCAAAUAUGAGCAUGGGGGCGAAAGACUAAUCGAACUGUCUAGUAGCUGGUUACCGCCGAA
rnacentral:rRNA from 1 species